AGAGUUUGAUCAUGGCUCAGAAUGAACGUUGGCGGCGUGGAUUAGGCAUGCAAGUCGUGCGAGAAGAGUUUUUUGCUUGCAUUAAACUCGGACAGCGGCGAAAGGGAGAGUAACGUGUGGUUACAUGCCCAGGGGUCCAGGAUAGCGUCGGGAAACUGGCGGUAAUACUGGAUGAUAUCUAAGGAUCAAAGGUGUGAUUCCGCCCUUGGAUUGGACCGCAUACUAUUAGCUUGUUGGUGAGGUAAUGGCUCACCAAGGCUGCGAUGGUUACCGGGUGUGAGAGCAUGGCCCGGCUCACUGGGACUGAGACACUGCCCAGACACCUACGGGUGGCUGCAGUCGAGAAUCUUCGGCAAUGGACGAAAGUCUGACCGAGCGACGCCGCGUGCGGGAUGAAGGCCCUCGGGUUGUAAACCGCUGUCAGUUGGAAGGAAAGAGGUGUGAAGAGCAUCUCUUGACCGAUCUUCAGAGGAAGGACGGGCUAAGUUCGUGCCAGCAGCCGCGGUAAGACGAACCGUCCAAACGUUAUUCGGUAUCACUGGGCUUAAAGCGUGCGUAGGCGGCUUGGUAGGUGUGAUGUGAAAGCCCACGGCUCAACCGUGGAAUUGCGUCGCAAACCCCCAAGCUUGAGGAAGACAGGGGUGUUGGGAACUUAUGGUGGAGCGGUGAAAUGCGUUGAUAUCAUAGGGAACACCGGUGGCGAAGGC
rnacentral:rRNA from 1 species